CACUGUCAUAUUUUCAUGGGUCAGGAUCUCAAGCUGAACCCGGAGCUUCGUGCUUUGGCUAGACUGACCAGAGAGCCUUGAAGACCCUGCUGCUGUCAUAUCUCCCCAGCACCGGAAUUCCAGGAAGCUCUCCACAGCCUGUGUGAUUCCCCUUAUCCACACCUGGUCUUUCAGAAACUCAGCUUUGGAGUCGACAACCCAAGAUUUGAACCAGGGACUUAUCACACUCUUAUGUGGCCUGUUCCACAAAGAGAGAUGGAAAGAGAUGGAAGACUUCUAGCAAUGCCCCUUCUGGGCAGUUUGAUUCAGAAACCAGCACCUUUAGUUUUUAAGAGACGCUUCACAUGCGUCCUACUCCGACCUUUUAUUCAAACGCUGUUCAGUGGGAAGAGGUUCCUACACCGGUGAAUGGCAGGCCCCAAGACUGUUUCCUCCUGAAGCUCUGCAUUCUUGCCUUACAGGUGAAUGGUAGAUAAAUGAGAAGGAGGAGCACAAAGUGGGAGUGGAGAGUCUGAGAAAGAGACGGCGCCCUACUGAUGCUGUUCCUGCUUUCCCACAGCUGAUUCCAAAGCCACGAUGGAGGUGGAGCUUCUUAUUUAGUAUAUAUCAUGUGGUGGGCUAGUCUUGCCCAAGGAGGCUAUUUUUCAUGUCUUCAGUUUUAGGAAGACUAACCUACUAACCUAUUCCCUGUUAGGGGUUAGAUCAGACCCCAAUCCCGCUAAAUUGUUAUGUUAAAUUCUCAGUACUCAGAAUGAGAUCUUUUUAGAAACAAGGUCAUGGGUGUCAUUAGUUGAGAUGAGGUGGUAUGGAAGUAGAGUCGGCCUCUUCAUCCAAUGUGACUGGUGUCCUCCUAAGAAGGGACAAUUUGGACAUGGGACAAGUAUGUCUACAGGGAAAUGUUAAAAAAAACAAAACUGAGCCGGUGUGUGGCCCAUACCUGUAAUCCCACGGAAGGCAAGGAGACAGAGGUAGGAGGAUAAUCACAGGUUUGAGGCUAUCCUGGGCUACAUAGGAAGUUCUAGGCCAGGCAGGGAUCCAUACUACUGUCUUAAAAACAGACAAACAAAACCAGGGAAUGAGGCUGGCUUCUAACAGAGCAUCAGACUUUUUUAAGGGUGAGCAGGUUUAGGAACCAGCUUCGGAGUCUUCUGGGAUGGGUGAGAGACUGGGCUCAACUGG